UAGAUAAACUCAGAUCCCUCUGCUUUCCAAGUGUGAGAAGAUUUUGUUCUACAGUCGCUUCUGUGAGAUCACCACAGCCCUGGCAAACCAAGAGGGAGGAACCUUGUGCCUUUGAAGUGUGAUUCACAGUGCUUGAUAAAGUGCCAGUAUUCUCUAAUUUUAGGUUCACAGCACAUUGGAUGGAAGUUACAGAAAUUCUUCUAUUUUUAAU
rnacentral:lncRNA from 1 species